GUGGGGAAUCUUCCGCAAUGGACGAAAGUCUGACGGAGCAACGCCGCGUGAGUGAAGAAGGUUUUCGGAUCGUAAAGCUCUUUCGUUAGGGACGAACGUGCUCUUUGUGAAUAAUGAGGAGUAAUGACGGUACCUAAAUAAGAAGCCACGGCUAACUACGUGCCAGCAGCCGCGGUAAUACGUAGGUGGCAAGCGUUGUCCGGAAUUAUUGGGCGUAAAGCGCGCGCGGGCGGGAUAUCAAGUCUGUCUUAAAAGUGCGAGGCUCAACCUCGUGAGGGGACAGAAACUGGUAUUCUUGAGUGUCGGAGAGGAAAGUGGAAUUCCAAGUGUAGCGGUGAAAUGCGUAGAGAUUUGGAAGAACACCAGUGGCGAAGGCGACUUUCUGGACGAUGUCUGACGCUGAGGCGCGAAAGCUAGGGGAGCGAACGGGAUUAGAAACCCCUGUAGUCC
rnacentral:rRNA from 1 species